UCGGCCAAUGAGGGGGCGAGCCGGGCCGGGGGGCGGGGCACCGGGGCCUUGUCACGCUCGGGUCCGUGUGAAAACGGGGGUUCCGAGUGCAAAGCAAAGUUUUUUUGUAAACCGUCUGCAAAGGCGGGGGGGUUAAGACGGCGGCCGCCGCCGGGUCGAGCUCAUUCGCCGCGGACGCCGUCUCCCGAGCGCCUCGGACCGAUGCUCAGCCGCCCCUCGGCACGCAGUCGCCCUCCCGCGCCCGCGCCCGCACCCUCCGCCUCGCUGGUCCCGGUCCCGCCGAGCGCCGGUGCUUGAGUCGCUGCGCGGCCGGCGGUUUCCCCACAGCGCCGCUCCCGCUCGCUUCUGCGCCGCGCCUCAGGCCGCCGCCGCCGCCGCCAUGGGCUGCUGGGGCCGCAACCGCGGCCGGCUGCUGUGCAUGCUGCUGCUGACCUUCAUGUUCAUGGUGCUGGAGGUGGUGGUGAGCCGGGUGACCGCGUCGCUCGCCAUGCUGUCCGACUCCUUCCACAUGCUGUCGGACGUGCUGGCGCUCGUGGUGGCGCUGGUGGCCGAACGCUUCGCCCGCAGGACCCACGCCACGCAGAAGAACACGUUCGGCUGGAUCCGCGCCGAGGUGAUGGGCGCGCUGGUGAACGCCAUCUUCCUGACGGGACUGUGCUUCGCCAUCCUGCUGGAGGCCGUCGAGCGCUUCAUCGAGCCGCACGAGAUGCAGCAGCCGCUCGUGGUGCUGGGCGUCGGCGUGGCCGGGCUGCUGGUCAACGUGCUAGGGCUCUGCCUGUUCCACCACCACAGCGGCGAGGGCCAGGGCGCGGGCCACGGCCACUCGCACGGCCACGGCCACCUCGCCAAGGGCGCGCGCAAGGCGGGCCGCGCAGGGGGCGAGGCGAGCGCGCCGCCGGGACGGGCGCCGGACCAGGAGGAGACCAACACGCUGGUGGCCAACACCAGCAAUUCCAACGGGCUCAAGACGGACCCGGCAGAGCCAGAAAAACCCAGAAGCGAGGAUCUGGUGGAUGUACAAGUAAAUGGGAACCUUAUCCCGGAGCCUGAAGACGCUCUGGAGUCGGAAGACAACAAAGCGGCGCAGCUGAACAUGCGAGGGGUGUUUCUGCACGUCCUCGGUGACGCCUUGGGCUCCGUGAUCGUAGUCGUGAACGCUUCGCUCUUUUACUUCCUGUGGAAGGGUUGUUCUGAAAACAGCUUCUGUAUAAACCCAUGCUUCCGUGACCCCUGCAAGUCGUCCAUGGAGAUGAUCAACGGCACGCAGGCCCCCAUCCUAGAGGCCGGCCCAUGCUGGGUGCUCUACUUAGACCCAACUCUGUGUGUUAUCAUGGUUUGUAUACUUCUUUACACAACUUACCCGCUGCUCAAGGAAUCUGCUCUCAUCCUUCUACAAACUGUUCCCAAGCAAAUUGAUAUCCGGCAUCUGGUGAAGGAGCUGCGAGCCGUGGACGGCGUGGAGGAAGUCCACGAGUUACACGUCUGGCAGCUGGCCGGGAGCAGAAUCAUCGCCACCGCUCACAUAAAGUGUGAGGACCCAGCUUCGUACAUGCAGGUGGCCAAGACCAUUAAAGACGUUUUUCACAACCACGGAAUUCACGCUACUACCAUCCAGCCUGAGUUUGCUAGCGUAGGGUCUAAAGUAGUCCCGUGUGAACUUGCCUGCAGAACUCAGUGCGCUCUGAAGCAAUGCUGUGGGACCCGGCCACAAACCCAGUCUGUAAAGGAUGCAGAAAAGGCCCCAACAGUUAGCAUUUCCUGUUUAGAACUCAGUGAAAACCUAGAGAAGAAGCCCAGGAGGACUAAAGCUGAAGGCAGCCUUCCUGCUGUGGUGAUAGAGAUUAAAAACGUGCCAAAAAAGCAGCCCGAAUCAUCUUUGUGAGUCUUGAAAAGGAUGUGAUAUUUGACUUUGCUUUUAAACUGCAAGAGAAAAUAGACUCAAUUGAAAUACUAAGUUGCCAAGUAGUGUAAUUGAAGUCCUUGUCUGGUCGCAGAGUUUAAUUCUAUUUUUGUAAGAACAUAAUGGAACUGCGUAGUAGAAUUAAUGUUCUCCAUUACAGCCUAGUGACUACUAGUGCACAGUGCAGCGAUGCUGUAGCACGCUUGAAAGCCAGUUUGACACUAUGUUACAUUGUUGUUUAAAGCACAGCAAGCGCAGUCUGCUUCUGCCAAGAGCCAUGACUUGAAGGGAAGAAAUCGGACGGUUCCUGCGGUUUGGACAUUGUAGAAAGCAGGUUACUAAGAAAGCCUCUGGUCUCUGAGCCACCUGUCUGGACAUGCUCGGUUUUCCACCGGCGCUGCUGUAAGACGCUGUCCUUUGCACCAGGAAGUCGCUCCCGGCUGCCCUUCGCCACAGAUUUCAAAUCCACGCACACAUCUGAAGAUACUUAAGUUAUAUUUUCCUUAAUAGAGAAAGGUUCAUGCUUUGUGAAGAGAAUGUAGAUUUUUUUUUUGUCUUCAAGAGAGUGACUAUUAAUAUUAGUUGUGAUAGCUCUAUUUUUCUAGGGACAAAGUACUCUGACUACUUCAAUAACUUUUAUAGCUGACUACUUUUGGGAAAGUUAAACUUUUGGGAUUUGAAAUAAUGAAUUCAUUGCUUAAUAAUCUGAAAGUGGAAGUGUUAGUGUAUGACAGUUACUUUUGAAGGGAUGGUCUUUCCCUGAGUGUAAAGAGCCUGUUGCUGGCAACGGGCCUGCUUAUAACAGCUGCAUUUUCUGCUGAGAAAUUUCAUUUUAGGAACGUAGUUUGUAAGUUCACAUUUACCGCUCUGGGCCAAUCAGCAGUCCGCAUAAUGCUUCAUUAGUAUGUGAUCCAACCCCUUGACAGGUGGUUACUUUGAAUUUUGCAAAAAUUUGCUUUUUUUCUUUUCUUUUAAACAUGGACUGGAGCGAUCUAUGGGUGAGAGAACUGGAGGUAGUUGUCUGGCGCACACCCUGACUGGCACCGCACAGGUUUGAGCGGUGUACUGGUGAAAGUGUGUGACAUCCAGCCAGUGUCCUUCAGACACACUCUGGGUGGGUUCGUGUCAAAGGUGCCCCAGGAACUGGAACAAGAGCUAUGCUGAUUUGUUUUUCAGAAGUGCUUUUAGGUUUUUUCAGAAGUGCUUUUAGGUUAAGUGGCUUCUGUGUAAAAAGUACCACAGGCUCUUUUUUUUUUUUUCUUGAAAAGUGUUUAUCAUAGCAAAACAUGGGCACCCACUCACCUCGGAGUUUUAGAGAAUUAUUUAUUUCUUUACAGUGCACUUUCUAACCCAUUUUUAGCUAUAUUAGCAUUAUCUUUAAGAAAAAAAAGACAUGUUUUUAUAUUUAAGUGUUAUGGGACUUGAGUGUCUUUUCCAAAUAGCUUCCUUUCGCUGCUCUCCUGGUCCUGUGUUUGGGCAAGGCCAGGGUGGACCUGUCUGUCAUCUGGAGCUGAGUGAGAAGGUGCUGCAUGCUCCCCAAUUGCACUCAACCAGGAAUCCUUCCAAACCACGUGCUCCUUGGAAGAACGGAUUUCAUUUUCCACGGUCAGCUUUUAACUUGUAGGAGUAAUUCUUUUCUGGGUAGUAUCUACGUUGUAGAAGUACACGCUAGAAUAUGAAAAACAGUCCUCAGACAUUUUACUGUAUUUUCACAUUCAAAAGAGAAGCAAGAUGCCGAAUGGCUUUAACCUAAAAUGUGUAAUUUGAACAGGAAGGGUUUGGAAAGUCACAGGAAGCUGUGUGUGUGUGUGUGUGUGUGUGUGUGUGUGUGUGUGUGUGUGUGUGUGUGUGUGUUGUCAGCAUUCUGUUUUGAGUUUCGGAAAGCUCUGAGGGAAUGGACGAAACCUAAUGUGGAGUAUUUGGUAUGUAAACUGGCUUUGAAUGUUCUUGCUGUUUUACAAGCAGAUACCAUUUGAACAAUAAAUGUCAUUAAGCUGCUGUCUUAAGGUAGUCAUACACAGAUAUGGAGUGUGAUUCUACAAUAGAAAAUAGUUUAAUACUGCAUUUCAGUUAAGAAAUAAAACAGUGUUAAGAGGUCUUGGGGAGGUGGAAGGCUUUUGCUGUCUCUGUGAUGGGAACUGUCCUAUGCUUCACGGACUGGGAAAUGUGACUGUAAUCUCACUAUUUUGAUACAGCACUGCAUAUAUACACGUGUGUAUGUGUAUAUGGUCAUGCUAUUUUGUCUUACUAACAAGCUCUGGAAUAUUUAGCAGUCAUUUUCACUGGCACAAGAGCCUUUUGUAUACUAAUCAAUUUAAACUUUUAAACCAAAAAUAUUAAGGUUCAGUGUCUGGCAAAAAGAUGCUGAGGCGAAUGUGACAUAGAAUUAAUAUGUGGUUAUAUAAAAAGACACGGAUCGCCGUGAUAGGGCUCUGCCUUGAAACAGCACAAUGGAGCGUCAGUGUGUCUGAUUCUUUGGUGUUCUCAUGUUGGGUGUGUCUGCUGCCACCUGUCCUCUGGGCCAACAGUGCGGUUGAUGUGGCUCUCAGCGUGUUGAGCGCCACUACAGACGGAACAAGUGCAGGACAUUUUCCCUAAUUUCUCUGUGUUAUGACUGUGUGUUAUUUCCAAAGCUGUUCCUACCUCACCACGAGGCUUUAUGGAUUGUUCUGUAUUAUAAAUGUUCUAUAUGAGACAAGACUACUGUGUUUCUUCUCAUUUAUUAAAAGUUAAGUAGAAAAAAA